GGCUACGGCUUUGACGGCGGCAAA
rnacentral:siRNA from 1 species